ACUCCUACGGGAGGCAGCAGUGGGGAAUAUUGCGCAAUGGGCGAAAGCCUGACGCAGCGACGCAGCGUGAGGGACGACGGCCUUCGGGUUGUAACCUCUUUCAGCGGGGACGAAGCGAAAGUGACGGUACCCGCAGAAGAAGCACCGGCUAACUACGUGCCAGCAGCCGCGGUAAUG
rnacentral:rRNA from 1 species